AUUGAACGCUGGCGGCAUGCUUUACACAUGCAAGUCGGACGGCAGCACAGAGAAGCUUGCUUCUUAGGUGGCGAGUGGCGAACGGGUGAGUAACAUAUCGGAACGUACCGAGCAGUGGGGGAUAACUAAUCGAAAGAUUAGCUAAUACCGCAUAUCUUCUGAGGAAGAAAGCAGGGGACCAUUUGGCCUUGCGCUGUUUGAGCGGCCGAUAUCUGAUUAGCUAGUUGGUGGGGUAAAGGCCUACCAAGGCGACGAUCAGUAGCGGGUCUGAGAGGAUGAUCCGCCACACUGGGACUGAGACACGGCCCAGACUCCUACGGGAGGCAGCAGUGGGGAAUUUUGGACAAUGGGCGCAAGCCUGAUCCAGCCAUGCCGCGUGUCUGAAGAAGGCCUUCGGGUUGUAAAGGACUUUUGUCAGGGAAGAAAAGGGCGGGGUUAAUACCCCUGUCUGAUGACGGUACCUGAAGAAUAAGCACCGGCUAACUACGUG
rnacentral:rRNA from 1 species